rnacentral:rRNA from 1 species
UGACCUCGGAUCAGGUAGGAUACCC